rnacentral:lncRNA from 1 species
CUCUGUUUUGCCUGUGAUUUAAACUCCUUCUGAGGCUAUUGGAGACUGUAUGGGAACUGUUGAAUCACGGCCUGAACCUCUGAUUGACCACCUGAGGAGAGCGCUGAGUCAGCCACAGGGGCACAGGUGAACGCAAUUUCACCUCAGUGACUGGAUGGGGUGGAGCCUGGCUCCAGCCCUCCUAGACCCCAUUUAAGGGCUGACUCCCAAUUAGGAAAGACAUCUAUCUGGAGAUCAUUUUUCUUGGAGCCCUUCUGCAAGCCCAGGACACAGUGUGCUGGUAUAUUGCUGAAAUCCUGCUUCCUUCCAGAGGGCCAAGACCAAACAUACAUCUACAACUACAUCUUGCUACCCUUCAACUGUAUUUUCUGACUUGCCACAAGGAUUGAACUAUUUUGAAAAGUCAUACUUGGCACAAGAAAGUAGGGCAGAAAUAGGCUCUUGAGAAAUACUAUUCAAAGACCAUCUCAACUCAGCCAAAUUCAUUUGUGGAGUUCAGUGAACGUCAUAUAAUAAUUAUUUGCUGAACUUAAAAUGAAUUCGCUUUGGCAUCAGCUCUCGUCUGUUUAAUUUCUGAAAAUAAAAUGGAAGUCAAGACUUACUUCUAGGAAACAGUUUCAAAAUGCUGAAGAGCAAUUUAGGAACUUUCACUGCUCCUACACUGAGUGAUACCCUAUUGUAAGAGAUCAUUCUUUUAUAUGAUUGACUCAAAGUUUGCUGAGGAACAAGUCCAGGCAAGUCCUGGGCAAAGGCAGAGAAAUCUUCUGUCUGGAGGACACUGAUGGACAGGUCCUGGCUAAGGGUUGUGAAAUCCUUCAAGGAGCACAGAUGGACAAGGCCAGGGGCAACAAGAGAGGGAUAAGCUGCUGAUAAUGGCCGGAAAACGGUCUUUUGUGUGGACUUAUCUCGAGGAAGAUGGCCAUCUCAAGGAGGUACGAACAUGACUCUUGCUCAAGCACACAGGGAUGUCACAUAGGCAGGAAAAAAAGGAGGAUAAAAGAGGGUCCAACAACCAUGAGGAGAGGGUUUCUGCCAUCAGAUCCCUCACCACAACAGACUCGAGGUUUCUGCCAUCAGAUCCCUCACUACGGACCGUAUGCUGACGGACUUCCCUGGGCCUGCUACCUGAGACCUGCUGCUUCCUCCCGGGCUUACUCUGUGGUUUCUUCCUGGACCCACCCGGUACCUGCACCCUCUCGUUGCCCAAGAUCGGCUUCGCUGCUCCUGCCCAUCAGCCUUGGACCAUCAGAACGUCGUGCAAUGGGACUACUGCCG